rnacentral:lncRNA from 1 species
GCCCCUCCAUCUCUGAGCCUGACCUAACCAGCGUGAAGGAGCGGGUCAAGAAAGAACCUGUGAAGGAAAGGCCGGUGUCAGAGAUGUUCUCCCUGGAGGACAGCAUUAUAGAGAGAGAGAUGAUGAUUAGGGUGAGUGUCCCCACUCCCGGGUCACUGGCGGUAGGAAGCCCCAGAGCUGGAGGCCUGAAGGAGGGAGGCUUCAGGGAACGUUUUGGGAUUUAAGGGACUGUGGGCGUUCCAGGCGGGAGUGAUGAUGUCACCAGCUGUCAGGGAUGCCUUUUCAAAUAACCCCCUCUGUCCCACUGUCAUCCCUGGCUUGUGGCCGAUGUACUUGGUACAAGAACAUCUUAGUGAUUGGGUACGCUCCCGAGGAGUUUGCUACUGGGCUCCAGUCCCCGUCAGAUCUGCUCACACACUCGUGCACGGGCAUCGUCCACGCACGCAUUCCACAUACGAAGAUUCCUGCUGUGAUGGUGUUACAGAUAACCCCUCACUGGGAUGCGCCCAGCCUAGGAAGCUAGUUCUGUUGGGUGUGGCGAGACCACGUGGUGAUAGAUGUGUAUAAACAAGGAAAUAAACACCUCUUACAAUGAG